GAUGUAUCUGGUCAUGUAAAUCCUCUAAGGAUAGCUUUUUGUUCUGUAAUGUGGGUAUUUGUAACGCGCUGUAAUGAAACUUUCGUUUUUUCGUUCAUAUCCGAACUGUUCUUUAUUAUGCAUGAGAUGUUGAGACUCUUUUCUUCGUGGUUUUCUCUGAGAAGUCUACGAUAUUGUUUUUUCCUUCUUAUUUUUUAAUUGAUCCGACCUGGAAUCCAUUUAGCCAGUCUGAGUUUUUAGUUUACUCUUUCCGAGCUGUACCGACCGACCUGCGAGCUUGCUUUCGGUUUACUUUGUCCAAGCGAGACUAAUCCGACCUCCGAGCUUUGCUUUUAACCAAUGGGUUGAGCUUCUGAUCCAUAACUUUCACUUUUCUGUUUUCGAGCUGGACUAUCCAACCUGUGAGCUCUGUCUGUGUUCAAUGAACCGAGCUCUAAGUUUCCUUAGCUUUCGAUUUUACUUUUUCCGAGCUGAACUAACCGACCUGUGCGCUUUGCUUUUAAUCAAUGGGUUGAGUUUCUGACCCAUAGCUUUGUAAGAUUCCGAGACGUCUUCAUCACUUCGUUCUGGGCUCCUGGCCUUUGCUUAAUGAUGAUCCUUCUUAGGUGAUAGGCUGGUCUGACCUUUAUCAUGCUUCCCUCUGUUUGUCUCCUUGGGUCUUUCUAUGACUUACUCUUUUUCCUUAGUUUUUACUGCCUAAGCGGUGAUGAUGUGCAUUUUGCGUGUCAGGUCGUCCUGAGGGAGAGAUUCGACUGGAGCUCGGUUUUAAGGUUUUGACAACUUGAGUUUGUUUUAUGCGAAUAGCGUGUGGGCCUUCGGCUGAUGGGCUAUUGUCGUGGGCCUGGCCCUUUGUAGGGGUGGAGAAGCCCAGCGGUCAUCUCCUUGCCCCUUUACCUUCUCGCCGGUUAUUAUCUAACCGUUGAGAGGGUAAACUUCGAGAGCAAUUAAUGAUCGCGCCGCUCCAAGACAAAACUGCUCAGAACAACGUUUCAUCUCAUUAUUGCCUUUCACUUCGAAUUCUCCCUGUCUUCUGAAGAAACUCGCUCUCUUCUGCUCUCUGUUUUCCUGCAACUUCUUCUGUUUUUUCCAUCCUAUUGUGUUUUCAGGUACGCUUCUUUGCUCUUCCAUGGAGGGUCCAAAGCUCCCAGAUGUCGCUAAUCUUAGGUCGCAUAUCACUUCUUCUACCAUAAAUAAACAUAUUUCUCGAAGGUAUCAAGAUACUCCGCUUUAUCUUAUUCGAGCUCCUUUCCAAAAUGAAAGGAUAGUUCUUCCAAACCCUCCCCCCCUGGUUUGAUGGAUCCCUAGAGGGGGCGUUGUAUAGUCUUUUUUCUCAAACAGAGGGAUUUCGGUCUACCUUUCCCUUUUACUCCUUUUUUUGUCGAUGUUUUCCAAUACUUCGGGGUAACCCCCCGGAUGUUAUCCCCAAAUUCUAUUCUGUUCAUGAGUUGUUUCGAAUCCAUCUGCCGAAGCUGGGGUUUCACACCCACGGCCUGUCUGUUCGUCACUUUCUUCCGUCUCGUUAGGGCGGUGUAGAAUUUCUAUUAUUUUUCCCCCCGUAGUGGGUUGUCUCUUUUCACGGGCUACAAGGAUUCCAUAAAGGGAUGGGUUGAGAAUUUCCUUGUGGCGGAGCUGAAAUUAGAAUCCGCCUUAUCAUGGGGAGUGGAUCUAAGUUGGGAGGAUGUUCCUCCGGGUUGCAAUGACCUGCCCCGGUUGAGCCUUAUUGAGCAGGUGGGAUUGCUUCGACUGACUUCUGUUGAAAAGAAGUAUGACGUCGAGAAGUGUAUGUUCGUGUCUAAUCUUAGGGAUAUCCGGGACACGGGUAUAGUGCCUCGUCCAAUGACUCUGUUUCUU
rnacentral:lncRNA from 1 species